GGAGCGUUCUGUAAGCCUGCGAAGGUGUGCUGUGAGGCAUGCUGGAGGUAUCAGAAGUGCGAAUGCUGACAUAAGUAACGAUAAAGCGGGUGAAAAGCCCGCUCGCCGGAAGACCAAGGGUUCCUGUCCAACGUUAAUCGGGGCAGGGUGAGUCGACCCCUAAGGCGAGGCCGAAAGGCGUAGUCGAUGGGAAACAGGUUAAUAUUCCUGUACUUGGUGUUACUGCGAAGGGGGGACGGAGAAGGCUAUGUUGGCCGGGCGACGGUUGUCCCGGUUUAAGCGUGUAGGCUGGUUUUCCAGGCAAAUCCGGAAAAUCAAGGCUGAGGCGUGAUGACGAGGCACUACGGUGCUGAAGCAACAAAUGCCCUGCUUCCAGGAAAAGCCUCUAAGCAUCAGGUAACAUCAAAUCGUACCCCAAACCGACACAGGUGGUCAGGUAGAGAAUACCAAGGCGCUUGAGAGAACUCGGGUGAAGGAACUAGGCAAAAUGGUGCCGUAACUUCGGGAGAAGGCACGCUGAUAUGUAGGUGAAGUCCCUUGCGGAUGGAGCUGAAAUCAGUCGAAGAUACCAGCUGGCUGCAACUGUUUAUUAAAAACACAGCACUGUGCAAACACGAAAGUGGACGUAUACGGUGUGACGCCUGCCCGGUGCCGGAAGGUUAAUUGAUGGGGUCAGC
rnacentral:rRNA from 1 species